UUUCUAAACAACGGAUGUAAUGAAAGUUUCUCCUAACGGAGUCUCCAUAAAUAGGUCAAAGUCUAAUUUCUCCGUAAUCAAGUUCAAACGUUGAGCGCAAGCAAGAGAGAUAAAAGAACGGGUAGAACCGGUAUCUAGUAAGGUAUAAACUUCGCAAGAAUUAUAAUUAACUAACCCGUGCUAAACUCGUUUGGGUUCUUCGCAUUUUG
rnacentral:lncRNA from 1 species